UACGUAGGUGGCAAGCGUUGUCCGGAAUUAUUGGGCGUAAAGCGCGCGCAGGCGGUUUCUUAAGUCUGAUGUGAGAUCUUGCGGCUCAACCGCAAGCGGCCAUUGGAAACUGGGAGACUUGAGUGCAGCAGAGGAGAGUGGAAUUCCACGGGUAGCGGUGGAAUGCGUAGAGAUGUGGAGGAACACCAGUGGCGAAGGCGACUCUCUGGUCUGUAACUGACGCUGAGGCGCGAAAGCGUGGGGAGCGAACAGG
rnacentral:misc_RNA from 1 species